rnacentral:rRNA from 1 species
UACGGAGGGUGCAAGCGUUGCUCGGAAUUAUUGGGCGUAAAGGGUAGGUAGGUGGUCUCAUUUGUCUGGGGUGAAAGCCUUGAGCUUAACUCGAGAAGUGCCCCAGAAACGGUGAGACUAGAGUUCUGGAGAGGGUCGUGGAAUUCCCGGUGUAGCGGUGAAAUGCGUAGAGAUCUGGAGGAACACCAGAGGCGAAGGCGGCGACCUGGACAGACACUGACACUCAACUACGAAAGCGUGGGGAGCAAACAGG